GAUGAACGCUAGCUACAGGCUUAACACAUGCAAGUCGAGGGGCAGCAUGGAAGAAGCUUGCUUCUUCUGAUGGCGACCGGCGCACGGGUGCGUAACGCGUAUCAAACCUGCCUCAUACUCGGGGAUAGCCUUGCGAAAGUAAGAUUAAUACCCGAUGUUGUUAUGUUUCCGCAUGGUGAUAUAACCAAAGAUUUAUCGGUAUGAGAUGGUGAUGCGUCCGAUUAGGUAGUAGGCGGGGUAACGUCCCACCUAGCCAUCGAUCGGUAGGGGUUCUGAGAGGAAGGUCCCCCACACUGGAACUGAGACACGGUCCAGACUCCUACGGGAGGCAGCAGUGAGGAAUAUUGGUCAAUGGACGGAAGUCUGAACCAGCCAAGUAGCGUGCAGGAUGACGGCCCUCCGGGUUGUAAACUGCUUUUAGUUGGGAAUAAAAAGAGGGACGUGUCCCUUCUUGUAUGUACCUUCAGAAAAAGGACCGGCUAAUUCCGUGCCAGCAGCCGCGGUAAUACGGAAGGUCCAGGCGUUAUCCGGAUUUAUUGGGUUUAAAGGGAGCGUAGGCGGAUUAUUAAGUCAGUGGUGAAAGACGGUGGCUCAACCAUCGUUAGCCAUUGAAACUGGUAGUCUUGAGUGCAGACAGGGAUGCUGGAACUCGUGGUGUAGCGGUGAAAUGCUUAGAUAUCACGAUGAACUCCGAUCGCGAAGGCAGGUGUCCGGGCUGCAACUGACGCUGAGGCUCGAAAGUGUGGGUAUCAAACAGG
rnacentral:rRNA from 1 species